AGGGAUCUUGUAGGCUACAGAACAUUCCCCUCCUUACUUGUAAACCAACACUACCCUAUGUUGCAGGGGGCUCUUUCUUCACAGCCCUCAUACUGCUUAACCCUGAUGUCCAGCAAAGUCAAUGAGAGCUUUUUCCCUCAGAUCCAGUGGGGCUGUUGCCUGGAUUUCCUCCUAAUAAAUAAUCACACUUUGCUGGCAGCUAUCUCUACCAUUCAAGCAUGGCACUGAAAUGAAAGGAGCCCUUUUAGGAUAGAAACAGAAUUUGUCCCUUUCAAAGGAGUGGUUCAGUGAAUCAGAAUGGUUUGGGUUGGAAAGGGCCAAAAAGAUCAUCUUGUGCUCUGCAGAUAAUAUAGGGUGCAGGUUAUAGCAGGUGCUGAUUUCCCUGAUCCAGCAAAGCAUGCAAAGCCAGUGCUUCACACCUAUAGUCCCAUUCAUCUCCACCCAAGAUUAUUCUCAGCUGUUUCAGCCAUUCUGUAGCUAGAUACCUAGUCUGAGCUGGUCCUCUGGAAGAGGAGUUGGUUCCUACCAUCCCAAGAGAAGCAGCCAGAGCUCUGGGAGGUGCUUAUCUCAUGCCAGUGAUGGCAGAGGCACCUCACUCUGAGGAAGACAACAGCUGGUGUGGAUGGACCUACCUGAGAUUGCCAAUGCUGUUACCUCUUGUGGUCCUACAAGGAGAGAAACAACUCAGUGCAAGAAAAGCAAGUAAAAAGGAAAAAUUAGAGGGAAUUGCACAGAGACCACCAGCAGGCCUAGUUUCCAGCACUCAUCUUCACUUCCAGCUUCAUCUUUGUGCAGUGUGAGCACGGUGUGAAUCUGCAGCUCUGCUGGACCAAACACUACGCAUUCAUACAUGCGGGGCAACUACUUGAUCCCCCAGCAAGACAUGCAUCCUGCUGAAGUGUGUCACCCGUGGGCUCAGGCAGCUUUUGUUACAGACUGCCGUCACCCCUGGUUUGUACAGCUUCGGGCUGCCAGGGUGUGAGAAGCCAGCUAUCUCCUACAGCACUGCAAUGGCAAACACCAGGAUGGUUAUGGCCAUUCAGUGGGACUGCGACUGAGCCAUGGCUGGGCUGGAGGGAUGGCUGCAGAAAGAUGGCUUCACCUCAGCGAUCCCUAGCUAUUUAGAUUCCGCUACUGGGGACACUAAAAAGGAGCUGAUUUGCCAAGGUGCUGCUCAGAGGAUGGAGCUAUUUCAAGGUGCUUCUCUUGCUGUGUCACCACCACCUGGUGGCAUCGAUCUCCUCCCAGAUCUCAUCUUUUUGGUAAAUACCAAAAAAUUUUAUCAAUCACUCUGAUUUUAAACUCGGUGGAAAUGCCUUCAUUCAGUAAACCAAAUGAGCUUGUCCUCAAGCACAUGCUGAACUCCAUCACAUGUCAACAGACUAUGUAAUCCCACUGACUUCAAGCCUGGAUUUAGGGAUAAGUACGUGACUAUUAGGUUCAUCAAAUGGGAGUCAAAGAAUCAGAAGACCCCGUACAAGCGGUACCUGGCCAGCUUUGGAGAUCUGCAAAAAUGAGCCAGAGGGUUCCUGUGCAUUCCCCAGAGAAACUGAAGCAGAAAUCAUUCCUUCCUCCUCAUCAUCCAUGUAUCAUCUGUGCCUCGAGGUGCUAGCAAUGAGUUGUGGUUCCCAAAAUUUCCAUGCCAUGGUGCACACAAAUGAAGAUGUAAGAUGUUCACCCAGCCCACGUGUCAGAGGACAGCAAGAAAGUGAAACAGGCCAGGGGAACACAAGGUGGCAAGGACCGCUACCCAGAAAUAGCCCAUGGCAGUGCAUUGGAAGGAACAGUUCCUUUUGAACUUACUUAAGAACGUAAUUUCAUUUCCAAACACUGAUUUUAAAUGAGAUAUUUAACUCUGGUAUGUUGGUUAGGAAAUCAAGAUUAAUUAUUAUGGUGGGGAUUUGACCAUGUUUCCAAACCAGCAAUUUUGCAUGGAAAAAUCUGACAAGAUUACAUUUUAUGAGAAUUUCCUUUUGGUAGAAAAAUGUCUUUCAUCUGGGACAUGCGUUGCUGAGAUGAGCCUUUAACUGAGGGAUGACAUGCAGAAGAUGUGUGAGCUGUGCAUUCACAUUUACCAAAACUGACGAUGCCUCUGGAGCCCCUUGGUGUAAGAGCAGCAAGGGGUCCCAGCACUUUGGCUGUUGUAGUGGUGUCAGCAAUGAGGAGGUAAGAAGUUGCUAGUUAGUAUUAUUUAUUAAUUGCAUUUUUGCUAAUGGUGAGCAUGCUGGAACUCGACCCUGUAUAUGAGACGGGUGGUCAAGAGCAAGCAAGGGGGAAAGAACAGACAGAGGUGGCAAACAGCAGAAGGAAUGAAAUAGCACUGACAUUGUCAUGGUUAUUCUGUCUUUAAUGUUGUACAUGGUCCCAGAAACCAAUGGAAACAGGGACAUGCCAUUCUGACUGCCAGCUGGAAUGGAUAACACCAUCAUUGUCCCUUCCCCUUUGGAGAGCAGAAGUGGGAAUGGGUGCAUGGAGAGCAACCCCUGUCCCACCGGUGGGCAAGAGAGCCUCAUGUGAAGUGGAUCUUAGAGCAGAAGUGGGGGAAAAUGUUUUCCUCAGGUUUUACAUCAGCAAAUGUCACAUCACCUAAUUCCCUUGCUGCCUCUGCACCUCCCCAGCCCCGGUCCCCCCUGGGGAGGCACAGACCUGCCUCGUUCCUCCGUGCAUGGCACUCAGAGCCCGGGGAUCUGGCUGCCAGUGGAGCUCCAGAACCAGGCUGGUGGCUGUCAGGAACAAUGGCAUUGUUGCCACUGGAAUAAACAUCCUGGUGGCUCAUUUGUGUUUAUCUGGUAUUCCCAUUCUCUGCUGAUUAACCCAGCCAAGCGAGGGCUUCAUGUGGUAAUUACAGCACAGCUCAUUUGUGUGUGUUUUACAAUGGUGUUGAUAUAAUCCCACUAGAGCACCCCAACCAUGUGCAAGGAGUUCCCACCAGAAAUCCAAAUAACGCCCCAGUGCUGCUGACAGCUUAAUAACAUGACAAAGUUCAGUCCCGCUGGAUGUCAGGGACAGGAAUGCGGCUCAGGCUGCUCUGACCUGGAGCUUUCCAAACACCGUACAGUUGAGGCUGAGCAUUUGACAAAUAACCUUUUCUUUGCCUGCUCAUAUCCAUCAGGCGUUACCAGGUGCCACGGAGAGGCCACAUGCCACUGUUAAAAUGUUAAAUUGAGUGGCACGGCCAUCAAAAGCUCUGGGGAGGGACAUUUAUCUUUAUUAUUAUUGUUAUUAAUAAUGCAGAUAUUGCUGCGCGUCGCAUUCCAAGGUAUUUUUGCAGCACUAAAUCAUCCAAAUGCCCAUUGACGGCCCUGAUAAAUCACACAAUAAACCAAAAUUCAAUACAGCUGUCAGCCCAGGCCCCGAGCAAAUCUCAGGGAGCUCAAUUGUAAAGUUGAGGCAGGGAUGGAGCCUGCGUGCAGCGGGACGGGCAGCAGCAUGGCACGCACUGCAGGCACUGGGAAAGGCUGCCUCGGCCAUCUGCUCCCGCUCCUCACGUCCAGCACUGACGCAAGCAGCAGGGUGGGGAUGGCUGCUCACGAUGGCACUUCUCAUUG